rnacentral:rRNA from 1 species
UCAAGGGAGCCGGGGGCACCCAAAGGCUUAGCUUGUCUAGGACUAAGGUGAAUUCGGUGACAGGGAGUAAGUCGUAACAAGGCACGGCUAGCGGAAGCUGGUCGUGGAUUAAUUCAAUG